CUUAAACCUAGAUAGACUUAUUACUUUUUUCUACAAUUUUCUGUACUACUUGAUUUUUAUGUGGAGGAAGAUUGAGCAUCUGCUUCCCAGGACCGGAGGAGGUUAGCACAGGAGCCCAGUGAUGUCUCUUACAUAAGAGCACGUGUGCUAGUAUGAGCUCAUCUCUACUUCCAUAUCCUCAGAACAUACCAGUGACACUUUCAAAUGAGAUCAUGUAAUGCAGGCUUGUAGGUUCUACUUCAAAAUGUGAUCUAAGCUCUAAUAAGAUAUAUUGAAAGACUGCAUCAGAAUUCAGCUUGAGUCUGUGCCAGCAACUGUGCGGAUUCAUGGCAGCAUCCAUACUGUAGUACUGCCUGUGCACUGAGGCAUGCAGCUUCUUGGUCUCCCUCUGGAUACUGAGGAGAUCGAGCUGUUUUUCAUCCAUUUCCCUUCGUUCAUGUGUCUGACUCGAACCAUUUUGAGUUUGUCGAUCAUCAGAGAAGGCUCCCUGUGGUGUGCUAGCCCUGAUCUCCCUUCGUACUCAAAGGAAGGCAGAGGCUGUAAUGAUGAACAAUUCCCUGGGGUGGUUGCAUGAGGGUUGGAGGUUACAGUGCAAGCUCAGCCACAACCUGUUUGUAAUCCUUCCUGUGUGAUGCAGGUGAGAAAGUAUGCCAUCUAACUGUACUUAUUAAAAUCAAACAAAAUCUAUUCUUUCCUUUCUGAAGCUGAAUAGACAAGAGGUGUGUAAAAGUAUAUUUAAAGAGCCACCCUAUAUCUCAUUUAAUAAUGCAUUAUUUUUAGUAAAUAUAUUUUAGGGAGGUAGUGGAAUCAGUUAGUGGAAGAAUCACAAGGAAACAGGAGACCAAUUUGCUAUAAGCCUAUAUUUUUGGCUAAGAUUCCCUAGCCGUAAAGAGUGUUGCUGUAUAAUUCUCCCUUUGGCAAGGUCUAUGAAUCACCAUGAUGCAUCUAUAAACAGAAUGUGAAAUGGCUGUGCUUUGUUAGAUGAAGCCAGUAAUUCACUAAGCACUCAGAUCUGUACUGAACUCUCCUUCAGGAUGUAGAGUGUGUGUCACUGCUGUUCAAGCUGGGGGAAACAGGGGGCUUGGCACCCCAGUGAAUGUAUGCUGCUAUGCUGACUGGAGUCCUACAGAAAAAAAAUCUAGCAGUAAUACAUGAUAAUCUGCGUAAGUGGACGUGGCUUCUCUCUGUGUGUGUUACUCUCUGGUGUAUUUUCAGCACGCUUGCUGGAAACUACUUGUACUGCACAGCAGUUGCUCUGUCCUCCUGAAAAGUGUAAACAAAUUGUUGUGGUUAAUGAUUAUAGCUGUUAAAUGUUUGUUUUUAGUAACUUCUGCAAUAUCUCAGGCUCUUGCCAAAUAUAUAUAUAUAUUUAUUUAUAUAAAAGAUUCA